rnacentral:lncRNA from 1 species
CUUCUUUUUCUUUACCAGAGUUGCAGGAUGCAUAGAUUUGGAUGGGAUGGGCGCAGAGUGCGAGUACCAGAGUUAUUAGUUAGUUAGUUUGUUUAUCCUUCUUUGAUGUCGAUGAACAUUUGAAGAUCUUGUAAUUGAACUAAUUUGUUUAUUUGGACAUGUUGGACUGCUCUAUUUGAAUUACUAGAUUAAUUGUGGAUUUAUUGGAAUUUUUGUUAAUCAUAGGCCUUGCAUGAUCUUUAGGGCACUGCUCUAGGGCUCAUGCGGCCGGUCGCGUACCGGACCCGGGUGCUGGGUUCGGGGCGUGACAGAGUGGUAUCAGAGCUUAAGGUUAAGGUAUCCUAGGGUUUAGGUUCAGGUGAGUGUGAGUGGGGAAUUAUGAUCGAAAAACUAUUAGAGCCUUAGUUUAUAAUGACCUGAGAUUGUAACAGGAAUGAUAAUGUAAUUUAAGGUUUAAGACCACUAGGGAUUGUGGCCUUAGUGGCAUUAGAGUUUAAGGUUUAAGAUCAUUGGGGAUAGUGAUAAAUUGGAAUCUGAGCAUAUGUUUAAGAUCACUAGGGACUGUGACUGAAAUAUAUUAUAGCGUAAGGUUAUGAUCACUUGGAACAUGACAAUUAAAUUCAGUGCUUAAGGUGUAAGAUCACUGGACAUUGUGAUAAAAUAUAUGCAUCGGGUUUUGGUUUUCGAUGAGUGUGGAAGGAAAGUAUAAAUUAUCUUUGAUCAUGAUAAGAGAGGUUUGACCUAAGAUAAGUGUAGGAAGGUCCACAAUGGCAUAUCAGUUAUACCAUAUUCGGAUAUUAUUUAAAUGACCUGAAAGUUCAAACUUGAUAUGGGUUUUGAUGUGAUCGUACUUUUGGUUUUGCUGCUAAUUAUUAGAGUAGGGUUUGUACGUAGAUCUUCCAUAGUAUUGGAGUGAGCUAAGAAGAUUUCAUAAUAUUGAAAGGAAUGUUCUUCGAAGUUGAAUAUGUAUGUGGAUUAUAUCUGGUAUUGGCAUGUUGGCUAUUGCAAAUAGGUCUAUUUCCUAUUAAUGUAUUUGAUUAUUUUGAGGCCAUAGAGUAUGCAUAUUGACGGGGGAAUUCUAAUUAUUUGAAUUCUCCUAUUUGGAUUGGGCUACUGGAUUUUACUUAUAAUUGUAGAAGACUAUUUGAUGUGUUAAAUUUAAAACUCAAGCCUAGGUUUAAGAUUUGAGCAGGAUCUUUUGUCAUUGUUGAUGAAGCCACUAAUAAAUGUCAUAUUGAGUAGAGACUUCGGUCAUGAGAUGCUUACAUAAAUUAUCAUAUAUAGCAUUUUUGAUGGAUGUUAAGAAUCUUGGUGAAGAAAGAUCUGGAGAUCGAUAGAGUUAAUUUCUAAUCAUAGUGUAUUGGCUCAAUGACUUCUAACCCAUUAAAUUUGAAGUAAAUCUUUUUGGAAAGAAGAUCAACGUAGAUUGUCUAAUCGAAUUGCUGAGGAAAUCCAAGGUUAACUUAUUUUAAAUUAAACCUAGAUAUUUUGAAUUCUAAAACGGUUGUGAAGAUCAUGUCGUGACCUUAAACUUGAUUAAUGGCUUGAGUGUUAGUAAUGGUUAGUAUACUCUACAUAAAUUGAGGAUAGAGAGAUCUGGAGGUUCUACUCAAUUAAAGUUCUAAAAUUUGGAUUUUUCUUACUCCUAAUGCAAAGUGAUAUUUCGGUCAUAAAUUAUUUAGAGGCUUUAGAGUAUUUAAUGGAUUAAAUCAGAGUGCGCAGCGGAAGUGUGGUGGUUUGAGUUAUUUUGAAACUGGUUAAGGCAUUAAUAUUUGAUCUGAAAGGUAUUAUUAUAGAAGACUUGAGUUAGUUUUCUAGUAGAGGGGAAUGUCGUUGAUUCUUUGCCUACUGGAAGUAGCUAUGGGCUCUCCUAUUUUUUUUGAUAAUUCUAAGAAGAAUUUUGGGGCAUCUCAAAUUUAGCAUUAACGGAUUGAUAGCUCUGUGAUUAAGCUUGGGCCUGGAAUGAUUUAAAAUAGUUCUUCGACUCCUAGCU